rnacentral:misc_RNA from 1 species
ACAAGCUUAGAAGUAGUUUCAUCAUUGGAAGAUUCUAAAGAAUUAUGAAGUUGCUAAAGAACUAUGCGUAUAAUUGGUUCUCUGAUUCGAUCUUAUUUAUUGAAAAACAAAUAUAUGGCUAGAAAUAGUAAGAUGUAUGUACAUAGUGACGUUGUCUUUAAAUAAUGAAACAGAAAAGGUGUAUUUAAAGCAUCGAACAGCUCGUAAAUCCAGCGGUGUGACAAGUUUCACUUUAAAUAAUCCACGAGGCUCGAAGCGAUUUGGCAGCAGCAGAAUUACGGUCUUUAUAUAUAGAGACCGGGAUCCGUUGAUUAAGAAUCGCGAUUAGUAUUUAUUUCGGUCGUGUUUGGGCUGGAUUCCACGCUGCUAAACUUGGCGUGACUUGGUCGUCCGCUGCAACCUACUCUAUUAGCCCCGAUGACCCUUGUACGGAGUGAUAGCAAAAGGUUCUAGGCAUUAUUCGAAUUUAAAGUUGGAUCAUGGAUCACCGGACUGUGGCCAAUUUCGAGGAUCAAAGGCAUAACGGUUCGUUCUAUCGUUCGACUUUCCGCGCCAGAAGGAUUCCAAAACAGUAUACUUUUGGAAUGUGGAAUAUAGACCUGUGUAGUAUUAUAGAAAUUAUUUUGGUUUAAGUAACAGUUUCUUGGUAGUUAUAUAUUACAUGGUAAAAAGUUGUGACAAAGCUUUCGUUUUUGGAAAAUUAACAGAUAUAACCUAGUUUUAUGUGCACCGUAGACACAACCAUGAACAGAAUGUCAAGUGCGAA